AAAUUGAAGAGUUUGAUCAUGGCUCAGAUUGAACGCUGGCGGCAGGCCUAACACAUGCAAGUCGAACGGUAACAGGAAGCAGCUUGCUGCUUCGCUGACGAGUGGCGGACGGGUGAGUAAUGUCUGGGAAACUGCCUGAUGGAGGGGGAUAACUACUGGAAACGGUGGCUAAUACCGCAUAACGUCGCAAGACCAAAGAGGGGGAUCUUCGGGCCUCUUGCCAUCAGAU
rnacentral:rRNA from 1 species